rnacentral:lncRNA from 1 species
AAAAAGUCCUGGUGGGAUUAGAAAGCGACUUGUCUGGGAUUUACAUAAUGAUGGUAAAAUAGGCCGAUGAUAUUAGGUCAGAACGAAGAGGAGGGUUAAAUCCCAGGAAGAAAGUCAGUCUCAACGUGAAACAGGGAAGAGACAGCAGGCGCGAGCACUCCGGGGGCACUGUGUUCUGUUAAUGACUCUGGAUGUCACUUCAUGGCGGCAACUUUGAAGAUUGCGUUUGUGCUUCUUGCUUCGAAUGUUAAAUCCUGAGUGACAGUAGUCUUUUGUUUCAGCAAAUUAAAAAGAACCUGAAGAAAUACUCUAAGAUCUUUGAACAGAAGGAUCGUUUGAGCCAGUCCAAAGCCUCAAAGGAAUUGGUGGAGAGAAGGCGCACCAUGAUGGAAGACUUCCGGAAGUACCGGAAGAUGGCCCAGGAGCUGUAUAUGGAGCAGAAAAACGAGCGCCUGGAGCUGCGAGGAGGGGUGGACACUGAUGAGCUGGACAGCAAUGUGGACGACUGGGAAGAGGAGACCAUAGAAUUCUUUGUCACUGAAGAAAUCAUCCCCCUCAGGAAUCAGGAGUGACCGGGGAGCUCUGUGCGCGUGUGGUGUGGAGCGGAGGCCGCCCUGCAGGAAGCCUGCUCGACUCCCACCGCCUCCCCGUGUUCUGGACUGUGACCACGCCUGGGAUUCUGCCAUUGCAACACAUUUUUGUGCCUUUCAGCCCCUGGCGUCUACAGUGGGGGGUUUUAAGGCACCACUUCCACUUCUUUCUUGUUUGGGGUUUUCUGUCGGAACCACCUGCGUUGGCUCCGUAGACUCUAGCAGCGUCACCAGCAGCAUCUUCUUCCGCAGCCAGUGGUGUUUCCACGGUGCCCAUCCACAGCUGAGCGGUGUUUCCGUUGAAGGACUUGUGUCCCUGUCGCGCGUAGUGCUGGACAUGUGCCGGAGAUCCGCCGGGGGGGCACUGCCACGCCUCGUACCCCCACUGUGCAGGUGGUGGCCAGUUUUCUCCACAGGUUGAACGUGG